UUUCGGGGUCUAUAGAAAACGUUUGCUUUUGUCCCGAGCUCUCGUUAAACCAAACUUGUGGUGGCAACGCCAGGCGCUGCGGGCGGGGAGGGGCCCGGGGAUUUUGGCAGCAGCCGACCAGAGCGUGGUGGAAACUUCUCUCGCUGGGUUCCCCGCCACCCCGCCUUCCUCUCUCCCCCGCUACACACACACACACACACACACAUACACACACACACGCACACACGCAGACCAGCAGGCCUGCCGACGCUUCCCCCUUCUCCCCAGAGAGGCCUCAGCGCUCCAGGAAGGAGGUCUGGGCCUGAAGGACCGUGCCCAGGGGGGAAGAGCCUGGGGUGCGUGUCUGUGAGCCCCGAGUUUGGGGCACUCGGUGAUCUGGCUCCUGGCGGCCCUGACUUGCCUCUCCCUCUCCUUGAUCUUUGGGGCUUUGUACGAGCCGGUGGAAAGGAAGGGGAGGGAAGAGAAGAAAGUGGUUCGUGUGUGAGGUUUUUAUGUUCAGUUUGUUGGAACCUCUCACCCCCGCUGUACGGCCUCCUUUAUAGGAUCUCGGGCGAGAAAGGGGACCGUGGGCUCCACGGGGAAAGGGUCAGAACCUUAGGCCUGGGCGCUGGACCGUCCUCUGCUGGCUGGCUCGGCCACCCUCCUGCAGAGUGGGGGCCAGGUCCCUCCACACAGAGACACCGAACCUCCCUCCCCGGCGCGGGAGCGCCAGGCCCCCCUCCCCCUGGCGCGCUCCCUAGUCCUGCGCGAACGCCCGUGGCUCUCCGCACUGGAGCUGCUCAGGCGGCAAUUUUUUAAGCCUGCAAUUAAGCGAGGCGUCGCCGUGUCCUCUGCUAGUGUCGAUCCUGUCAGUCGCACAUGGCCUUGGUGCUCCGGUCCGAGGCCCCGCGAUUAGUCACAGGCUCGCUUCGCUCCUUCCCUAAUCCGCCUCUGCAGGCAGCCUGGGGACGCGGCCGACUUGGCGGCGUUGGCAGGGAGCCACCGCGCACGGGGCGGGCUGCCUGGCCAGUCCCAGCCCCGCUGUGCCUGAGCCGGCGCGGGCCCCGGGGUGCGGGCUUGGGACUCCCUCCCCGCUCUCAGCCUCCAGGCUGGGGCGGCGGCGCCCCUCCUUCUCGUCCUCCUCCUGGGCCUGGGAGAUCUAUUUGCGUGGUGUCAUUUGUGUUUCAGUGCGUUCGAACGCGGGAGGCGAAAUCCUUAUUGAUGUGCCUGUGUGGAGCCCUGGGUUGUCGGAGCGGUUUGAUUUAGGGUGUUUGUGUUGCCUUAAGCGAGAAACGAGAGGAAAUCCUCGCAGCGCCUUCGGCGGGCCAGGCCCCCCGGAGCAUCCCCCCGUGCGCCGCGCGGAACUGUCCGCCGCCUGGACCUCGGCGCGCCGAGCCCACAGCGAGCAGGUUGAGGGCCAGGCGGGCGGCCCAUUAUGACUCAUAAAACCGGGCGGCCUAAUCACCAGCUGCCAACCCGUUUACGUGUGGCGCUUCCCAAUGCUCCGUUCGCCCAGCCCGGGCCUCCAGCGGGUUCGCCCCGCUCCGUGGGGGCGAAUCCAGUGGCCGCUCUUGCCCGUGGGCAGCAUGCCUUCCCUUCCCGGGCGACCCCCUCUCUCCCGGCCUUUGCGCCGCUCGCCAGCAACUCCUCGGCUUGGACAAAUAGCUUUGGAGGGCGCCGGCCGCGCGGAGCCAGUAAAUCAAUCAUUAACUCCCCAGCGAAACCUGGCCAGGGGAGCGGGGGGAGUGGCGGCCAGAGGCGAGGCCGUGGGGCGAGCGCCAGGCCCCCGCCUCGGGUUAGGAGCCAUCCACGUGCCAGCCGACAAGGACUCAGCUGAUUUGCUGUGUUCGCCAUGGGAACCUAGGAAUUUAUCAUCUACAGGAAGCAUUGCCUUCCUCCCAGUAAUGAUUUGAGGCUGCUUCCGUGAUACCCAAAACCCAGCACAGAGCAACGGAAGAAGUGGGACAUGAAUUAUAAUGUCACGCCUGCUCACAUCUUUGCCCCCGUCCACAUAAUGGAACUGAAUUCAUAACGCCUUUCAGAAAUGAGGGAGGAAGGGAGAAGGAGAGCGAGAUAAAAGCAUCCAUGAUGAGAAAGAAUCAUGGAUUGACUGCGCCCCACACUGGGGAUCGAGCCCGCAACCCGGGCCUGUGCCCUGACCAGGAAUCGAACCGUGACCUCCUGGUUCCUAGGUCGGCGCUCAAACGCUGAGCCACGCUGGCCGGGCUAGAGAGCAGUUUUCAAAUGCAAACACAUGCAGCAACAUGGGCGCACCCCAGGAAUGAAAUUACACAAAGGAAGGCCACCUCAAAACACAGGCCCCAAGCUUCCGGCUGGUGGCCACGCCAGGUUUGGGGCCAGUGGCUGGCCUGGGCGGGCACGGAACUGCCCAAAUCCUCUCCCCGGCCCUAAGCACCCUCCCAUCUGGCUGUUCCCGAGUUACAGCUUUUAUAGUAAACUGGUGACCUAGUGGGUGAAAAAACUGCACAAGAUUCCAUUUGCAUUAAAUUUUAAAGUGGGCAAAGCCAACGUGAGGUGUCGGAA